UCCACCUCUCUGGGGCUGUUAAAGCGUGUUCUCCGUCACAUCUAAAGAGCUUCUUAUCCAGUACCCCGUUGUCAUCAAGCGCGACGGUUCGAUCCAUCCUGGGAGCCUUUGUGAGGGUGGGCGACCUGAAUAGAGUGCCUGUCAUAGCUCUGUCUGCCCACGCCCAGGCAUGAUUUCCAGAAGCAUCUCUGAAGCCUGAAAAGGUUGAAGAAUACCUCCUCCUGUGCUCUCGGGUUCAAAAUCCCUAUCAAGCUACCAACAGUAUUUUUCAGAGAACUAGAC
rnacentral:lncRNA from 1 species